AUUGAACGCUGGCGGCGUGCCUAACACAUGCAAGUCGCACGCGAAAGGGGGCAACCCCAAGUAGAGUGGCGGACGGGUGAGUAACGCGUAGGAAUCUACCUAGUAGUGGGGGACAACCCGGCGAAAGCCGGGCUAAUACCGCAUACGACCUAAGGGUGAAAGCAGGGGAUCGCAAGACCUUGCGCUAUUAGAUGAGCCUGCGUCCGAUUAGCUAGUUGGUGAGGUAACGGCUCACCAAGGCGACGAUCGGUAACUGGUUUGAGAGAACGACCAGUCACAUUGGGACUGAGACACGGCCCAAACUCCUACGGGAGGCAGCAGUGGGGAAUAUUGGACAAUGGGGGCAACCCUGAUCCAGCGACGCCGCGUGUGUGAAGAAGGCCUUCGGGUUGUAAAGCACUUUCGGCAGGGACAAACAAGACGGAGCUAACAUCUCCGUUCCUGAUGGUACCUGAAGAAGAAGCACCGGCUAACUCUGUGCCAGCCGCCGCCGUAA
rnacentral:rRNA from 1 species